AAAGAAACCAACUGGGAUUGCCUUAGUAACGGCGAGUGAAGCGGCAAAAGCUCAAAUUUGAAAUCUGGUACCUUUGGUGCCCGAGUUGUAAUUUGGAGAGUACCACUUUGGGACUGUACUUUGCCUAUGUUCCUUGGAACAGGACGUCAUGGAGGGUGAGAAUCCCGUGUGGCGAGGGUGUCAGUUCUUUGUAAAGGGUGCUCGAAGAGUCGAGUUGUUUGGGAAUGCAGCUCUAAGUGGGUGGUAAAUUCCAUCUAAAGCUAAAUACAGGCGAGAGACCGAUAGCGAACAAGUACAGUGAUGGAAAGAUGAAAAGAACUUUGAAAAGAGAGUGAAAAAGUACGUGAAAUUGUUGAAAGGGAAGGGCAUUUGAUCAGACAUGGUGUUUUGCGCCCCUUGCCUCUCGUGGGCUUGGGACUCUCGCAGCUCACUGGGCCAGCAUCGGUUUUGGCGGCCGGAAAAAACCUAGGGAAUGUGGCUCUGCGCCUCGGUGUAGAGUGUUAUAGCCCUGGGGAAUACG
rnacentral:rRNA from 1 species